GUGUCAGCAGCCGCGGUAAUACGUAGGGUGCGAGCGUUAAUCGGAAUUACUGGGCGUAAAGCGUGCGCAGGCGGUUUCGUAAGACAGACGUGAAAUCCCCGGGCUCAACCUGGGAACUGCGUUUGUGACUGCGAGGCUAGAGUACGGCAGGGGGGGGUAGAAUUCCACGGGUAGCAGUGAAAGGCGGAGAGUUGUGGAGGAAUACCGAUGGUGAAGGCAGCCCCCUGGGUUAGUACAGACG
rnacentral:rRNA from 1 species